rnacentral:lncRNA from 1 species
GCCUCAGUCCAAUCUACACUGAAAUUUUAGCAAAAUUAGAAUUCUCCUAUACUAAAGCUAUCAUAAAGACUAUGAAUCCAUUCAAGUCAAUGAAGCUAUUUGAUGUGAUUUUGAUUUUCCCCUCCAUUAAAAACUUUAUUAGUAUAUUCUUUAUUGUUAAAAAUUCACCAAAGAUUCAAGAUGAACAACCCCUAACAGAAUACAAUAACUAUAACAAUAUAGAUCAAAUGAGUUUAGACAAUACAAAAAAUUUAAAUUUAAGAUGACUAUUUUUGUAUUUAAAUAGUAGAUAUGAGUUCAAU